AGCGGCGAGCGAACGGGGAGCAGCCCAGAGCCUGAAUCAGUGUGUGUGUUAGUGGAAGCGUCUGGAAAGGCGUGCGAUACAGGGUGACAGCCCCGUACACAAAAAUGCACAUAUUGUGAGCUCGAUGAGUAGGGCGGGACACGUGGUAUCCUGUCUGAAUAUGGGGGGACCAUCCUCCAAGGCUAAAUACUCCUGACUGACCGAUAGUGAACCAGUACCGUGAGGGAAAGGCGAAAAGAACCCCGGCGAGGGGAGUGAAAAAGAACCUGAAACCGUGUACGUACAAGCAGUGGGAGCACGCUUAGGCGUGUGACUGCGUACCUUUUGUAUAAUGGGUCAGCGACUUAUAUUCUGUAGCAAGGUUAACCGAAUAGGGGAGCCGAAGGGAAACCGAGUCUUAACUGGGCGUUAAGUUGCAGGGUAUAGACCCGAAACCCGGUGAUCUAGCCAUGGGCAGGUUGAAGGUUGGGUAACACUAACUGGAGGACCGAACCGACUAAUGUUGAAAAAUUAGCGGAUGACUUGUGGCUGGGGGUGAAAGGCCAAUCAAACCGGGAGAUAGCUGGUUCUCCCCGAAAGCUAUUUAGGUAGCGCCUCGUGAAUUCAUCUCCGGGGGUAGAGCACUGUUUCGGCAAGGGGGUCAUCCCGACUUACCAACCCGAUGCAAACUGCGAAUACCGGAGAAUGUUAUCACGGGAGACACACGGCGGGUGCUAACGUCCGUCGUGAAGAGGGAAACAACCCAGACCGCCAGCUAAGGUCCCAAAGUCAUGGUUAAGUGGGAAACGAUGUGGGAAGGCCCAGACAGCCAGGAUGUUGGCUUAGAAGCAGCCAUCAUUUAAAGAAAGCGUAAUAGCUCACUGGUCGAGUCGGCCUGCGCGGAAGAUGUAACGGGGCUAAACCAUG
rnacentral:rRNA from 1 species